UCGGGAAUAUUGCGCAAUGGAGGAAACUCUGACGCAGUGACGCCGCGUAUAGGAAGAAGUUUUUCGGAAUGUAAACUAUUGUCGUUAGGGAAGAGAAAGGACAGUACCUAAGGAGGAAGCUCCGGCUAACUACGUGCCAGCAGCCGCGGUAAUACGUAGGGAGCGAGCGUUAUCCGGAAUUAUUGGGUGUAAAGGGUGCGUAGACGGGAGAGCAAGUUAGUUGUGAAAUCCCUCGGCUUAACUGAGGAACUGCAACUAAACUACUUUUCUUGAGUGCAGGAGAGGUAAGUGGAAUUCCUAGUGUAGCGGUGAAAUGCGUAGAUAUUAGGAGGAACACCAGUGGCGAAGGCGGCUUACUGGACAGUGACUGACGUUGAGGCUCGAAAGCGUGGGGAGCAAACAGGAUUAGAUACC
rnacentral:rRNA from 1 species